GGGGGGGGGGGGGGGGGGGGCUGGUACGGGGAAGGCGAGCGGGCAGACGGGGGGGUUGCUCCUCGGACGUUGGCGGCGGACGGGUGGGUACGCCGUGGAUCACCUACCUAUAAGACUGGGAUAACUUCGGGAAACCGGAGCUAAUACCGGAUCAGCUGUAGAAGCGGAUGGGUCACUAGGGAAAGACGGUUUUGCUGUCCCUUGUAGCUGAGUCCUCUCCACAUUAGAUAUGUGGUAAGGUAACUGCUUACCCAGGCAACGAUGCGUAGCCGCCCUGAGAGGGUGAUCGGCCACACUGGAACGGAGACACGGUCCAGACUCCUACGGGGGGCAGCCGUAGGGAAUCUUCCGCAAUGGGCGAAAGCUUGACGGAGCAACGCCGCGUGAGUGAUGAAGGUCUUCGGAUCGUAAAACUCUGUUAUUAGGGAAGAACAAAUGUGUAAGUAACUAUGCACGUCUUGACGGUACCUAAUCAGAAAGCCACGGCUAACUACGUG
rnacentral:rRNA from 1 species